rnacentral:rRNA from 1 species
AUUGAACGCUGGCGGCAUGCUUUACACAUGCAAGUCGAACGGUAACAGGGAGCUUGCUCCGCUGACGAGUGGCGAACGGGUGAGUAAUGCGUCGGAACGUGCCGAGUAGUGGGGGAUAACGCAUCGAAAGGUGUGCUAAUACCGCAUACGUACUGAGGUAGAAAGUGGGGGACCUUCGGGCCUCACGCUAUUCGAGCGGCCGACGUCUGAUUAGCUAGUUGGUGGGGUAAAGGCUCACCAAGGCGACGAUCAGUAGCGGGUCUGAGAGGAUGAUCCGCCACACUGGGACUGAGACACGGCCCAGACUCCUACGGGAGGCAGCAGUGGGGAAUUUUGGACAACGGGCGCAAGCCUGAUCCAGCCAUGCCGCGUGUCUGAAGAAGGCCUUCGGGUUGUAAAGGACUUUUGUCCGGGAGCAAAUGCUGGUGGCUAACAUCCACCGGAGCUGAGAGUACCGGAAGAAUAAGCACCGGCUAACUACGUGCCAGCCGCCGCCGUAAAAC